GAUGAACGCUGGCGGCGUGCUUAACACAUGCAAGUCGAACGGAAAGGCUCCUGCUUGCAGAGGUACUCGAGUGGCGAACGGGUGAGUAACACGUGGGUGACCUGCCCUGCACUUCGGGAUAAGCCUGGGAAACUGGGUCUAAUACCGGAUAGGACGAUGGUUUGGAUGCCAUUGUGGAAAGUUUUUCGGUGUGGGAUGAGCGCGCGGCCUAUCAGCUUGUUGGUGGGGUAAUGGCCUACCAAGGCGUCGACGGGUAGCCGGCCUGAGAGGGUGUACGGCCACAUUGGGACUGAGAUACGGCCCAGACUCCUACGGGAGGCAGCAGUGGGGAAUAUUGCACAAUGGGCGCAAGCCUGAUGCAGCGACGCCGCGUGGGGGAUGACGGCCUUCGGGUUGUAAACUCCUUUCGCUAGGGACGAAGCGCAAGUGACGGUACCUGGAGAAGAAGCACCGGCUAACUACGUG
rnacentral:rRNA from 1 species